rnacentral:misc_RNA from 1 species
GAUGAAGAACGUAGCGAAAUGCGAUAAGUAGUGUGAAUUGCAGAAUUCAGUGAAUCAUCGAAUCUUUGAACGCACAUUGCGCCCUUUGGUAUUCCUUAGGGCAUGCCUGUUCGAGCGUCAUAUAACUACUCAAGCCCAGCUUGGUUAUGGGUGCCUGUCCCGCCCCGCGCGUGGACUCACCUCAAAUCCAUUGGCGGCCCCCCGCCGGCCACGAGCGCAGCAGAAACGCGGUCUCGUGCCCCGGCAGGGCGGCUCCCAGAAGCAAACCCCCCCCAUGUUUGACCUCGGAUCAGGUAGGGAUACCCGCUGAACUUAAGCAUAUCAAUAAGCGGAGGA